rnacentral:rRNA from 1 species
UACAGAGGGGGCAAGCGUUGUUCGGAAUUACUGGGCGUAAAGCGCACGUAGGCGGCUUCUUAAGUCGGUGGUGAAAUCCUGGAGCUCAACUCCAGAACUGCCUUCGAUACUGGGAAGCUCGAGUCCGGGAGAGGUGAGUGGAACUGCGAGUGUAGAGGUGAAAUUCGUAGAUAUUCGCAAGAACACCAGUGGCGAAGGCGGCUCACUGGCCCGGUACUGACGCUGAGGUGCGAAAGCGUGGGGAGCAAACAGG